GAUGAACGCUGGCGGCGCGCCUAACACAUGCAAGUCGAACGGCACCUGCCUUCGGGCAGAAGCGAGUGGCGAACGGCUGAGUAACACGUGGAGAACCUGCCCCCUCCCCGGGAUAGCCGCCCGAAAGGACGGGUAAUACCGGAUACCAUAUUGUUUUCGCAUGGAGAUGAUAUCAAAGGAGCAAUCCGCUCUAAGAUGGACUCGCGUCCAAUUAGCUAGUUGGUGAGGUAACGGCCCACCAAGGCGACGACUGGUAGCCGGACUGAGAGGUUGAACGGCCACAUUGGGACUGAGACACGGCCCAG
rnacentral:rRNA from 1 species